rnacentral:lncRNA from 1 species
UCCUCUCUCUUUUCUUCUCUUCCUAAUCUCUUCUUUCUCCUUGAUGAUCCUCUCCACGAACGCAUCAAACCUUUCAUGAACCACGUUGAUCCUUUUGUUCAGCCCUUGCAAGUCCAAGUUGCGGAAAAUCCCGAUGUAGUCACUGAGGUUGAACACCCCAACGAGCUCGGCCACCUGCUUCACCAACUUCCUCGCCUCCUCCGUGUCAGAAGUCGUCGAGCUCGCCGUCAUUCUGGUGAUCACGUUGUUGGUCAUCUUGAUCAGCUCCCAGCUGAUAUCGACGGGGUUGCUGGAUCUGGCCUUGUGGAGCAAGGUCCGCAAGAGGGCAUGGAGCUCCGUACGCCGGACCGGGGAGAGUUGGUCGACCGUCCGGCCGCCGAGGAGCUCCGACAUGCAAAGCCUCUUCAUGAACUUCCAGUAGGGGCCGUAGGGGGCGAAGGCGAAGCCGGCGGAGUCGUAGGCGAAGCGGCGGACGGCCGUGUACUGGGGGCGGUUGGCAAAUGCGAGGUCGUGGGUCUUGAGGAGCUCCCUCACGGUGUCGGGCGACGAGGCCACGACGGCGGGCGUGGAUCCGAGGAGGAGGUGGAUAGAACAAAGCCCUUGAUGUUCUCUCUUGUUAGCUUCAUAUCAGCAUUCGCGUCCUCGGACACGUCGAGCAUGAUAUCAAGCAAGUCCUUGACACCAUUAUCUCCCUCUCCUCUCUCUUUUCUUCUCUUCCUAAUCUCUUCUUUCUCCUUGAUGAUCCUCUCCAUGAACGCAUCAAACCUUUCAUGAACCACGUUGAUCCUUUUGUUCAGCCCUUGCAAGUCCAAGUUGCGGAAAAUCCCGAUGUAGUCACUGAGGUUGAACACCCCAACGAGCUCGGCCACCUGCUUCACCAACUUCCUCGCCUCCUCCGUGUCAGAAGUCGUCGAGCUCGCCGUCAUUCUGGUGAUCACGUUGUUGGUCAUCUUGA